rnacentral:misc_RNA from 1 species
CGUUGAUGGAGUUUGUGAAAGUUGGAAACGGUGGGAAGUUUCACUCUGCUAUUUACUACAGGCUUCUCCAUAACAUUGUUCAUUCCUCCCUUGAAGUUGAUGAUAUUUUGCUGGAGUUGCUCGCAUCAAAGUAUUUUAAGUACAUUGAUAUCAGAUACUUUACUUAUAUCAGCCUUGAAAAGCUUUCCCGAAACAUAGGAGCCAAUGAUAUCUCAGACGAUAUAAGGGAG